GGCGCGGGGCUGGGGCCGGGGCCGGUGCGCGGCGCGGAGAGCAGCCGGCGGCGGAGGGGAGCGCGCAGCCCUGCGCCCGGGGAGGCAGCGGCUCCGGCGCCGCGGUGCCUCGCGGAGGCGGAGAGGAUGAGGAUGGCUCCUGGCUUUUUUUGCCUCCUCGCGACGAUUUCCAUAGUAACCUGAUCGAGCGGUGCAAUUUCGGAAACUGGGGUGGCUUGAUUAUAAUUUUUUUUCCUCCCCGUUUUUUCCCCGCUUCAUCCCACCGCUCCCCGAGGAGUGCCAGCCGACAGGUGCAGAUUAAAAGCGGGAAAAAACUGUUGCACAACUGUUAGGUGGUGUGGGAGUCUGCACUGCUGCUCUAGGCUUUACAGAAGAACUUGGGAGAGACAUCUUUUCCCUGAGACUCCAGCAAUGAGGUUGUUAGCACUUCUUUCUUAUGAUUAUUUGGGAACAGUGAAUGUUUUAAAGCACCUGUCAUGCUGUGGGGCUUUAUUAGAUAUAUGACAUGCAGAAGGUGGAAAUUUUUUUGUGCCCUUAUUUUCAGCUGGUUUUUGGGCCUUUUACUUCUGAUGUCCUGUAUCCCAUGUGAACUCUAAAAGGAAUCCUCCCAAAGCACCAAUUAUCAUUUCUCUUUCCUACAAAUUCAUGUGUAAACAUGUAGUGACAUUUUUUUUGAAUGGCAGCAGUCACUUGUGGCAGUAAUUGCUGCUUGUGGUUUCUUAUAAAAGUAUAAGAAGUCUUUUAUAUGCUUAAUUAUAUAGAACUCUAUAACAUUGGAAAAUGUGAUCUUUUUUAAAUUGUAGCUUGGAGCUGAUGUGCCUAAUUGGUGGGGAAAUACAGUAAUAGCUAAAAAUGUGUUAUUAAUAAAUCUGAGGAUCUGUAAAGACAUUCCUUCAAACAAAUAAUUUUCUGUUGGGAAUUUUGUUUUCACUUUGUUGUUAGAUUCUUCCGUAGUAGAGAUCAUGUGAAAAUGUGCUGGCUUACCCUGGUAUAAGAACAGCUCUGAGUACAUAAAUGUAAAUGAAGUUUUGUGCUUAGCUGAAAAUAAAAGAGCUGAGCAUUAUUCUCAGAUAGUUCACUGCAUGAUUAAUAUGAUUUUUUAAGUACUGAUAUCUUGUAAGAAUAUAAUCAGAUACUCUUCUUCAUUGGAGCUAUGAAGCACCACCCAGCCAGUGUGUUAUGAGCAGUAAAUGAAUAACCUUUUACUAGCCUGUAGGAUAAUGCUAUUGUUUACAACUUUGUGAUUUAUUACAUGUUUCUUGAUUCCUGAGUAAGCUGUCACAGGCUGCUCUGUGCCUGUUAAAUGAAUAUAUGCUCUGGAAAGACACAACUCUAUCCUGGUAACAUGACUUGAUUGUUACGGGUAAUUUUCUGAAUGCUUGUGGCAAUACAGAGCUGUCUUUUUCUCCUUUUUCUUUGUUAUUUUUAUUUUAUAAGAUUCUGAUACUAGUGUGUUUCUUAUACUUUCUCCCAUUGGAACUAGUGAAGAAUUAAUUGUUCUAUGACGAUAUUCUGAAAUGUAUAAACAUUUGGGAUACUGCAUCACGUCUGACUUUCCUU
rnacentral:lncRNA from 14 species